rnacentral:rRNA from 1 species
UACGGAGGGUGCAAGCGUUAAUCGGAAUUACUGGGCGUAAAGGGCGCGUAGGCGGCCUGCUAAGUCGAACGUGAAAUCCCUGGGCUCAACCCAGGAACUGCGUCCGAUACUGGUUGGCUUGAAUCCGGGAGAGGGAUGUGGAAUUCCAGGUGUAGCGGUGAAAUGCGUAGAUAUCUGGAGGAACACCGGUGGCGAAGGCGACAUCCUGGACCGGCAUUGACGCUGAGGCGCGAAAGCCAGGGGAGCAAACGGG